rnacentral:rRNA from 1 species
AACGAACGCUGGCGGCGUACUUAACACAUGCAAGUCGGACGAGAAAGGAGACUUCGGUCUCUGAGUACAGUGGCGCACGGGUGCGUAACACGUAAGUAAUCUACCCCGAACCCUGGGAUAACCCUCCGAAAGGAGGGCUAAUACUGGAUAGGGUCCCCGAGGUAUAGGCUGCGGGGGGAAAACGGGCCUCUGUUUCAUGCUCGCGGUUCGGGAUGAGCUUGCGGCCCAUUAGCUAGUUGGUAAGGUAAUGGCUUACCAAGGCAACGAUGGGUAGCUGGUCUGAGAGGAUGAUCAGCCACACUGGCACUGAGACACGGGCCAGACUCCUACGGGAGGCAGCAGUGGGGAAUUUUGCGCAAUGGGCGAAAGCCUGACGCAGUAACGCCGCGUGGAGGAUGAAGGCCUUCGGGUUGUAAACUCCUGUCAGGAGGAACGACGGGGAAAGGGUGAUAAAGCCUUUCCUCCAGACGGUACCUCCAAAGGAAGCCCCGGCUAAUUC